UAUUAAAAAUUUCAUCCAUUUAUAUGGUUAAAAAUUAGCUAGCAAUGUGAUGCACUACGUGUACCUCAUGUUAACAUAUAGAAACUAAUUUUUAACAGCAAAAAUAGAUGAAAUUUUAAUA
rfam:Gossypium raimondii Chr02_contig_1404, whole genome shotgun sequence.